AGAUAUGGACCUCAAUAUUUGUUUAGCAGUUCAUAUGAAUUAAUUCAUAUUGCUUUUUCCAGGAUCUUUAACACUGUCGUAGUCACUGACCUUUCAUUCUUAACAUAUGCAGGUGACAGUUAUCAGCAAUCCAUCCACUCAAUCCAGGACAGUCCAGUCCAGGUUCUACAGGGAGACGGCGUGACUCUCUCCUGCAACUACUCCUCAGCAACAAACCUCUUCUGGUAUCGGCAGUACCCCAGCUCACCUCCCCAGUUCCUUAUCAAAGAUUACAUGGAGCUAUCUGGAUUUACCUUGAAAAAGGACAGUGAAAAACAAAAAAUGUUCCAUCUGGAGAUCUCCGCUGCUGAAGUGACAGACUCUGCUCUGACAGCUGAGUCUCUUGGUUCAGACAAAAGGUUUUCGACUGAACUGACUGAAGAGAAGACUGGAGUGGAUCUGAAGAUCUCCUCUGCUGCAGUGACAGACUCUGCUCUGUACUACUGUGCUCUGAGGCCCACAGUGACAGGAAACACAGACUCCCUGUACAAACACCUGCCGAGCGUAAAACACACUUCCCUCUCCCCCUGAAUCCAGUGCACAGACAUUACUAACUAACCCUAACUCAUCAGAACCUCAUAAUUUGCCCAUACUCUGAACAUCUUAAAAUUAUUCUGCAGGUCAGUAAUAUCAAGUAGGUGUCGAAGUAUUUCAUCAAUAUGUUUGAUGUUGGUGUCUUCAACAGCUGGUAUCAUGAAGAGAAUAAGUCCUUACUUGAGCUGAACACCAUACAGUUUCUCCUGUUGCUUUAAACUUGCUGUUGGGAAAAGCUCAUGUUACACACAUAUGACAUUUUAUCUAUCAUGUCCAUUAUGUGGAAUCUUUCCAGGGCUGAUAGCUUGGGACUCCAUCUCUCCUGAUAAACAGGAAGUCAGUGGAAAAGUGGGAGGAAGUGUAACACUCAGAUGCUGCUAUGAUACAGGUGAUG